GCCGGUUUAGCUCAGUUGGUAGAGCACCCGCCUUGUAAGCGUAGGUCGUCAUUCGAAUCCGACAACCGGCACCA
rnacentral:tRNA from 1 species